rnacentral:rRNA from 1 species
GUCCACGCCGUAAACGUUGGGCGCUAGGUGUGGGGCUCAUUCCACGAGUUCCGUGCCGCAGCUAACGCAUUAAGCGCCCCGCCUGGGGAGUACGGCCGCAAGGCUAAAACUCAAAGGAAUUGACGGGGGCCCGCACAAGCGGCGGAGCAUGUUGCUUAAUUCGAUGCAACGCGAAGAACCUUACCUAGGCUUGACAUGCACGGAAAUCUCCCAGAGAUGGGGGGUCCGUAAGGGCCGUGCACAGGUGGUGCAUGGUUGUCGU